AACGUUAGGUCACACCAAAUAGGCUGUUUUAUAGAUUCUUAGCGAAAGAAAAUUCUAUUUCGUUGGGUCUUUAAGGGUGUUAAUUUUUUGAUUUUCUAUGUGAUUUUCAUAAUAAUCCUUUUAAUUAAAGUCUUUUAAACGUGUGCUGAACUGAACUCCGCUCAGAAUCGUUUUUCGUUACCAAAGAUUAAUCGUUGCGUACAUGUGUACGUUAAAUAAAUUCCUCUCUGCAUCCUACC